CGGCCCCGACAGAGCCUUCAUUCUGGGAAUUCACCGCCUCAACAUUAAAGAUAAUAGGAAUGCACACAGGCUGUUUCCAGUAAUAUAGAUUUCCCUCGAUCCUGGUGGAAAACACGGCGAGAGCUUUUCUCGGAGAAAACGAGAAGUCCGCCAGCAAACAUCAAUCAAACUGCAACGCUGGAACACUACUGCCUAUUGAAUAAAUGCACAUUUAUUGCAAUUUGUUUUAAUCA